CAAUGACUGUAAAAAUGUUUGUGUGAAAACCUGUUCCUCUUACCGUAUCUCCAAAUGGUAUCCCAGGGAUCAAACAGACAUUACCAUCAAACGCAUGACAUAUAUUUACUUGCUUUAUUCCAAUGCCUAAAUGCUGCUAGCAGCAAGUUCUCUGUUGAGAAAGAACUACUAGUAAUUUUCCAUAGAUACAGUAAUAAAUAAUCCGGAGCCGUGGGAGAGCAGGUUAAAGGAACUGGAUGAACUUAAAAAUUAUCUAUUUCAUACGAACAGGUUUUGCAUUGGUGUUAGCAAUGCCAUGCUAGAGUAGCUAAAAUGAAUACCAAGAGCCCUUCCAUCAUUAAACCUGCAAAUUCUAGAAAGUCUAGUCGGAGGCAUGUUGAGUUUCUUUCACGUAAGUAUAUAGUGAUGGACACAAUCCAAGAAGACAGAAAAAUGCUGGUAAAUUAAAUCCUGUCAGAGAGAGCCCUGUGGAAUACUGCUGAAGAGUGGAUGGAUGGCUUGAUGAAGAACAUAAGCAGGGCUGGCAUAGUGAGCUCAUUGUUGAAAGCAAGGAAUGAGGAGAUGACAGGAAACGAUAUACAUACUUCAGCAUGGUCAUUACAAUAAUGGGUGUGCUGCUUAUGAAGAAGAAGGGCCCUGAGAACACUCAGACAGAGCCUUGGACACUGCUAUAAAAUGCUAAAGUGACUGUACAUGAUGUAGGGAAUGGAACAGACAGAGGCACGGAGGAAAACCUGGAUAGCACUGCUAGGGUUGAAGUGCUGCAGGUGACAGUGCCCACUGUGACGUCCCUGACAACGAUGUCCCUGCGUGAGGGAUAGUGACAUACACAGCAGUGGAUUGUGACCUCUUGGCCCUCACUGCUUGUAGCCAGGCCCGGAGUCUCACUCUGGCUUGCGCCUGCACUCCUGCCAAGCGUGUCUGUGAGGUCUGGAGUGAGCAGCAAGGAUAGCCUUGGUGCUGGUCUCGUGCUCUGGGAGCUGCUGACAGCCGCUCUCAGUGCUCGUCCCCAGAGCCACUGGAGUUUCUUCCCCGCCCUGCCUGGCUCAGGCAGCCGGGGCAUCCAAGGAGAACGCGGCAGCAAAGGGAACCGCGUGACCCCUGCUGCUGCAGCAGCGGUGUGAGGAGCAGCCCCUCAUCCCCUGCGCUCUCCUGCCCACCACAGCAGCUGGAGAGCAUGGCCACCGAGCUGGAUUGUCGCUGCCCCAUUUGCCUGGACACCAUGGAUGAUGCGUCCACCGCUUCUCCUUUGGUGGGGGCCUCUACAAAAGUCUUUUAUGACACGGACAGCUACCCUUUAGGCCCCGGACCAGUGGGUCCGAAGAAGUAACCAGACUUGUACCUCGCCGACCCACAUGACAUUUGGUGUGCAAUCCACAAAGAGGCAGAACGUGAGGGGGACUUUGACAUGGUUCACAGAUUGCAUUCAGCUCUUGCCUGUCCUGUGAUUUACAAACCUAAUAGGUUCCCCAAAUGGGAGGGUAUAAGCUUUCAAAUAAUAAAAGAGCUCCAGAAAGCG